AGAGAGAGAGAGAGAGAGAGAGAGAGAGAGAGAGAGAGAGAGAGAGAGAGAGAGAGAGAGAGAGAGAGAGAGAGAGAGAGAAUUGCAUAGUAUUUGAAUUUUAAAGCUCAAAAUUUAAAUGUGGCUGUUGUGAAUUGGGCUCUAUACUCACUCACUUGACAAUCGCAGCCACGAGACAUUGCAUUGGUUUCUCGAGGAUAAUAAGAUGUGUCCUCAUCUCAUGUGAAUGUACUUCAUUUUAAACAAAUUUGUCUAAUAUUAAUUUAUUGAGCUGUAAAGCUUUUUUUUAAUUGGAUAAAAUGCAUAGUGCACAUUCAUUGAAACCAAUCAGUUACAAAAACAGACCCACUUUUAAUUAGGUGUCUUUAAAGGAAUAUUCGGGGUUCAAUACAAGUUAAGCUCAAUUGACAGCAUUUGUGGCAUAAUGUUGAUUACCACAAAAAUUCAUUUAAACUUUUCUUAGACAUUCUUAACUCCUCUUUGUUAAAAAAGCAAAAGUCUGGGUUACAGUGAGGCACUACAGUGGAAGUGAAUGGGGCCAAUAUUUGGACUGUUAAAGGCAGAAAUGUGAAGCUUAUAAUUUUAUAAAAGUACUUACAUUAAUUCUUCUGUUAAAGCUCAUUAUUUGAGCUGUAAAACGGUUUAAAUUAUCGUUUUAGGGUUUGUUGACAUCAUCAUGGCAACAAAGUUGUAAAAUUGGCUAUAACUUUACAGAGAAAAGGAUAGUAAGUGAUUUUAUCACACUAAAAUCAUGUUAACAUGCAUUUUAUGUCUUGUGGCUACACUUCUGAAAUACUGAGUAUAUUAACACUUAUGGAUUGGCUCCAUUAACUUCCAUUGUAAGUGCCUCACUGUUACCCAGAUUUCUAGAUUUUUUUAAAGAAAAGGAGGGGCAAGUCAAAAUGAAUUUUUGUGGUAAUCAAUAUUAUGCCACAAAUGCUGUCGACUGAGCUUAACUUGUAUUGAACUCGGACUUUAACUACUAUGUACUUAAGCGUUUGCUACAAUGAACUUAUGUACGUAUGUGUUGUUGCAUUGUACUUACAUUUGAAGUACCUGCAUUUGACCUUACCCUAACCCUACCCCUAAACCUACUCGUACCUCAAACUCAGUAGCAGCAAAUGUGAAUCUUGUUAGAAUUGUGCAGAACAGAAUACAUGGAUACAGUAGCUUGAAGUUCUAAGAGUAAUUACAGUCAGUUUUUCAAUAAAAAUCUACAGAAAUUUGUCUCAACAGGAAAUUGGUAAAUCUGAUCAGUAAAUAAAAGAUACAGCCCAAGUCCGGUCAAGCUAAAGUUCCAUACUCUUAGGAGAAAAAAAGGUUAUUUGGGGUUCUAUAUAGAACCAUAGGGUUCUUUACUCAGCUCCAAAGAACCUUUAUGCUAAAAAGGUUCUAUUUACAAAGAUUUACAGAAAACAUAACACUUUUUGCACAAAAGUUCUUUCGGAUGACAAUUGCUUUAUGUAUGUAUGUGUAUGCAUAAAUUACAUUAUUGAAAGUUUUGUUUAUAAAUAGUUUUGAACACUACACUACAUUUAUAUUUGCAUUUGCAUUUCAUACUGCAGAAAAAUCGAACUUUUACAAUGUACUUCUACAGCUUUGGGUUUGUUUAGAAAAGGAUAAAUGACAGAUGAUCCAGUGUCCUUUCUCUUUUAGAUGACAUGUUUAUCUUAAUAUUAAUAUACAGUCUAUGGUAUAGUCUGUUCUUGACUCAUAAGUCAACAAAAGAUGCAAAAAUUGUGUUUAUCAUAAACAGCAAACAACUUGAGCGUGUAGCGUUGUUCCCCCCCAUCUGCAUAGUGCAAAGACACAUUUAAGCUCGUAUUUCCAAUUUUAACGCUCAUGGAAUGUCGGUUGAGCUGAAAGCUUGUGGGCGACGUUACCCUGGUAAGUAAGAGAAAUAAACUAAUUUGUUAAUUCAUUUUGUUGUUUUUAUUUAUUUUGACCUAACUCUUUAUUUAUGUUUACAUGUUUAUUUCAGCAAGUACAAAGAAUAAAUGUCCACAAAACUGUUUCAUCCAGGCCUGCAAUACUCUCCGCCAGGAGCAAAGACCUUCACCUAAUUCAGAGCACUUCUGAAGUUCUGACCAUCAACAUCAUCGGAGCCAUGAGAAGUGGAAGUCAAAGGGGACAUUUGACUUCAAAACAAUGACAUAAAUAAUGUCAUAAAAGUGGCUGUGGAGUGCAGCAUUACUAGUUUGACCAUCGUCAUACAGAUAAAACACAACACUCCUAUUCAUGGAUCAGCACAUCCAUCCUCAACCUGAUCUUUCAUGCGGUGUCCAGACCCCUCGGAGAGUGCAGAGAGUCGGCAUCAAACUAAUGACAUGGAGAUGGCUGACGUGAAGUUUAAUUUGUUGUAUCCAAAAGACCUCACUCAUUUUGUCAGACCAUUGACAACAAAAUGAUUCUGUAUCUGCCUCAGUGCUAAAAUUGUUUAACAGUUUUUCAUACGUCAUUUGUUUUAUUUAUUUUUACUUAGUUUUUUACUUUAUUAAUCUUACUUUUAGUUAAAAUGUUAACUUAUAGUUUGUUAAAUGAUUUAAUGUUUAUGAUUUUUAUAUAAAUAUCAUUACUACUAAUUAACUUUUAGCUUAUUUCAAACCUGUAGAUUUAUCAAGUCAGUUCUCAUAACUAUUGCGUUAUGAAUUGUGUUAAUUAUUGCUUGUGUUGUUGUAAAUACAAACUAUUAAAAAUGCUUUACUUAAUGAUACUUAAUGUCUUUUAUACGGUUAUUUCACUUUCUUUGUGAUAUAGUACAUGAACUAUUCAGUUUGCAUAUCCAUUAAACAUUCUUCUAAUAAAACAAACUAAACAAAAACCAAAUGUUACUGUUGCAUUUUGGGAACCCCUAAAAAGUUCUAUAUAGACCCUUUCCACCUGGCUCAAAGAACCCUUAAAAAGGGUUCUAUAUUGAACCUUUUAGGGGUUCCAAAUAUGAAGCGAGCGAUAGAACCCUGUAUAUGUAACCUUUUCUUCUAAGAGUUUAGUUUGGUUGAAGUAGCUUAAAAGCUCAUGGCGGCGUUAGAGACAGACAUUCUGGUCGUGGGAUAGGGAUUUUGGAGGGGGAAAAAACCUAACCAGUGUUAAAUAAUUGGUGGAAUAUUUGCCCCUUUAAGUUUAAUUUUCAGGGGCAUUUCUUUUAACCUUUUUAUAGUGGCAUAUUUUUCUAAUAAUAUUAAACACACUGGGCCUUAUUCAUUAAACAUGAGCAGAACAGAUUUGUGUAAAUCCUUAGUACAGCAAUUCUUGCGUAAAUUGUCUUCAGUUCAUUGGGACAAUUUACGCAAGAAUGCAUUAAUACACAACUUUGUUCUGCUCAAGUUUCAUUAAUAAGGCCCACUGUGUGUCAUCCUUUCAUGUCAAAUACUUUAAUUUGAUAAAUUCAUAAAAUUAAUUCUCAAUCUGAAUAAAACAGGAUGUAAUUUAUUGAAUACAAUCAACAUCAAGAAUGUUUUAUGUGAUAAUAUAACAAGACCUAGAAUACUAUUAUCAAGAUUUAUUUAUUUAUUUAUUUAUUUUGAGAUUUCAAACAAUUAUGGCAUUUCUGCCCCCACAUUUUGAAUAUCAGGGGCAUUUUUGCCCUAAAUCCCCAUUAACUUGUGACUCUUACUCAAAUUACUAGAAUAACAGUAGCUUUGCUUUGUUCAUAAUUCAUUUUAACAAAAAGGCUUCUACAUUAGUGUGCAUAAAAUUGAUUUCUGCUGUGUAUUCUAUCUA